rnacentral:rRNA from 1 species
UACGAAGGGGGCGAGCGUUGUUCGGAUUUACUGGGCGUAAAGGGCGCGCAGGCGGUUCUGUUUGUCGAGUGUGAAAGCCCCGGGCUCAACCUGGGAACUGCGCUCGAAACGGCGGAACUAGAGUUCGGGAGAGGAGAGUGGAAUUCCCAGUGUAGAGGUGAAAUUCGUAGAUAUUGGGAAGAACACCGGUGGCGAAGGCGGGUCUCUGGGCCGAUACUGACGCUGAGGAGCGAAAGCGUGGGGAGCGAACAGG